GACUACCUGGCGCAAUGGUAGCGCGUUCGGCUUCGAUCGCCGGCCGGCUGCUGACUAAGGCCGUCACGUGACGUGUCAACCGAAAGGCUGCAGGUUCGAGUCCUGCGGUGGUCA